rnacentral:rRNA from 1 species
CCAGACUCCUACGGGAGGCAGCAGUGAGGAAUAUUGCGCAAUGGGGGAAACCCUGACGCAGCAACGCCGCGUGUGGGAAGAAGGCCUUCGGGUCGUAAACCACUUUUGCACGGGACGAAAAAGGGAUAUCGAACAAAUAUCCCCGAUGACGGUACCGUGAGAAUAAGCCACGGCUAACUCUGUGCCAGCAGCCGCGGUAAGACAGAGGUGGCAAGCGUUGUUCGGAAUUACUGGGCGUAAAGAGUCUGUAGGUGGUUUGUCAAGUCUUUGGUGAAAGGCCGUAGCUUAACUAUGGGAAUGCCAAAGAGACUGGCAGGCUGGAGGCUGGGAGAGGGAAGCGGAAUUUCUGGUGUAGCGGUGAAAUGCGUAGAUAUCAGAAGGAAGGCCGGUGGCGAAGGGCGGCUUCCUGGAACAGUCCUGACACUGAGAGACGAAAGCGUGGGGAGCAAACAGGAUUAGAUACCCUGGUAGUCCACGCCCUAAACGAU